CAGCAGCCACGGGAAUACGUAGGGGGCGAGCGUUGUCCGAAGUUACUGGGCGUAAAGCGCGCGUAGGCGGCUUCUUAAGUCUGAGGUGAAAGGUUCAACGCUUAACGUGAACAGUGCCUUGGAUACCGGGGAGCUUGAGUAUGGGAGAGGGCAGUGGAAUGGCUGGUGUAGCGGUGAAAUGCGUAGAUAUCAGUCGGAACACCCAUGGCGAAGGCAGCUGCCUGGCCUAAUACUGACACUGAGGUGCGAAAGCGUGGGGAGCGAACGGGAUUAGAUACCCCCGUAGUCCCUGUCUCUUAUA
rnacentral:rRNA from 1 species